CGUGUCACUUGAGAUAUAAUGUGCAGCUUCUUGCUAUUCUUACUGGCAAUGUGUUUUAGAACAGAUAAUCAUCACCGUUCUUAGAAUUACUAAAUCCCUUUGCUAUAGGGAAAGAGCCUAUUUUAAAAUACUUAGAGCCACAAACUUCACAGUGGAUGAGUAAAUGUUUGGUUUUCUGCUCUGUGCAUAUGCUUAACCCUCCUCCUAGUAGUUCCACUGAUGGAGCUAUGAACUUCGGCCAUUUAAUUUCCUAGGGUAACAUUGCUGCUGGUUACUGGAAGGUUCUGUUGUGCUUCACUAGGCCUUCAGCUAACACAUGGAUAGAUAUCUGAAUCCAAAAAAUUCACCGUUAGUGAUCAGAUUGGAUGAACUGAUGAAAGCCCACCCUAGAAAUUUCAGAUAGCCUGCACAUUAGCUGUGACACGUAAAACUUUCAUAUGGCAUGCUCUUUUCCCAAUCUUCAGUAACUAAUGAAAAAAAAAUCACUUGUGUGAAAGUACUCAAUUUCAGUAGAAAUAGGAAUAAAAAUGUUGAUCUUCUUUUCCACAAUAAUACUUUUUUAUUGUUUCCUAACUUCCCUACAAAGUUUUUGUAUAGAUGCAUGUUAUAGUCUGAGGACAUGCGUGUGCUGUCUGGGGUAUACAGAAGUUGCACUGCUAGCAGUAGCAAGAAGCUCAGUUAACAAUUUGGGUAUUUACCCAGUUUCUUGGACAGAGCUUGCAGCCUGCACUGAGUUCCAUACUAUAAAAGCUACAUAUUUAAUAAGAAUCAAAGUGGGUUAAAGGUAUGGUUCCCAAACUGGGGUCCCUGAAUUCGUAGUCGGUGUUUUAUAAAAGCGUUUUGUCAUUACAGCAUUUCCAGUUGCACAUAUGAGGAGACAGAUUGAUGUGCAAUACAAAUUACCAACACAACUGUAACCUGUUUUGCCCCUCCUUCCUUUAGUGUAAGACACAUACUACAAUCCAGUGUAAGCGUGUUAGUCUGUUUUUAAAUCUCCUUUGUAUUCUGUAAUCUCCUCCAGCCAGAUAAUUACUUUCCUGAGUGAAAGUUGCAACAUACUAAUAUCAUGAGAUAAGUGAAAUCAAUGUAAAUUAAGAACUAGUCUGAACUGAAUGUAGUUGUCCAAAAUGUUUUUUCCUUCUCUCAUGAACUGUAAUUAUUCUAGCAUGAUGGUGCUGAUCUGAUCUGAAAUUCCACAUUUUGCAGCUCUCCACUGACCUUUGUGACCCUUUUUUGACCAAGAAACAAGGCAACUUCUCCACACACACCUACCGCUGUGGCAGGUGUUUUUGUACAGGUAGAUGACAAGACUAUGACUCCUCCCACCUCCACGAUGUGUUUGAAGAGAUGUUUCUCCAUAUUCCCUGCAGGAAUGCUCUGAACAUUGCCUUACUCCUAAUCUAGUCUUGCCUGAGGUAAAAGCUCAAGGUCUUCUCCCUAACAGGAAGUAGUAUCAUACUGCAAACAGUGUUUUAUGUACUCCAGCCUUAUACUACACUUUCAUAUUUUAGGGGCUUGGCUGGGAAAGAAAUUGAACAGCUGGACGUUUUUCUGUCUUGCAUUUCCUAGAUUCAGUGACUGACAAAUCAAUUUCAAAUCUGCCUUGAUGAUCAGAAGUGCAGAUCUUUUAAAAACUUGAGUUUUGGAUCCAGGCUCUGACACUAUUCAAAUCCUCAGCUAACAGCAGGGUGCUCAGAGAAUUCAGCCAGCAGCAUGCUCCAGUUUAGAAUUUCCUGCAAGUUCAUGGCUGAGUUUCGUGAAGACUGCUCUGCCACUGACAUCUUCUCCUGGCAAUGUAACAGAAAAUUGAAUAAUUUUACGGUCAGGUGUUACAGGCUCUAUAAUGCCAUACAUAAGGUAGUCACAUUGUGUUCUAGCUUUGGAAAGUGCUAUUACCUGCUUCACAGAAAAUGGUUGUGAACGUUGCUCAGUACUCAGAGAGGGCUGAGGCCUCUGCAACUGAUUCCUUUGAAAAAGUUGGCCUACAAGGCAUCAGACCUCUUGCUGUAGGUCUAGGCUCACAAAACCCAGCCAUUUCAAGUCUCCCUUUCUACAGUCUGCUUGGCAAAGUGGGAGGAGUUUAUCCCAUGCGAACUGAAAGAAUUUUGGCAGUCUCACCUUCUGGCGACCAGUACAGCUACGAGGGCCGCCCCGUCAUUUCCUGCCAGGCUGCCCUGACUUGGUGAAGGCGCAUGAGGGUGCACAGCAUCGGCGGCUGGGACAUGGCUCUGGCUGUGCUCGCUGGGAACUGGGAACUACUGCCACAAGAGCAACAAGCUCAGCUGAACAAACUUUGCAUCGGUGGGUGGGCUUGGCCAGCCAGCACCUGGGGGUGUGGUGCUGUGGCUAUCUCAUUUGGCUUAGUUUGUAAGAGAAAAAUACAGCGUAGUGACUUUGCUAGCAAGUCACUUUGAAAGUAUUCUUUCCUGAAGCAGCAUGUCAUUGGUUUUGAGCUCACUGAAGCCCUUUCUUCUUAGACAACACCAUGGAUGUCUGUAAAGAAUUGCAUAUGGACAAGAGCAAGCAUUCGUAUGAGUCUUACUAAUUGAGUUGCUCGAGGUGCUGCUGGUUAUACAAAGACAUGCAAACAUCAACCUUACAAAACUCAUCAUAACUUGCCUGCCAGUUGUAGGGCGUGCAAGAAUGUUGGAAUCCCGCUGAGCAUGGUUGCUUUUCUUUGGAGUGGUUGUGCUUUGGGUGGUUUGCCUUUUCUCAACAGGAGACCAGAAGUCUACUGAUUCACUGUUCCUUUUAGCUAGAGGAAAAGGAUGCUGCCCGAGAAGAGCUGGGAAGAAUGACGGAAAGGCGCCUCCCCAGGUGCUGAUCAAUUAGAAGUAACAUUGCUCACAGCAGCAGUGCAGCCACACUUCAGUAAUCAUCCAGUUCCAAGGACUGAUGGAGUAAAGAUAUGUUGCCAAAACAUGCAUCUGUCUGAGCAUGCAGGAGAAAUUUUAGAAGGCACUGCAAGACUGCAGCACCUACAUGCAAGCUCAUCUGCAGAGGACUCUGUGCAGCAGUGACACCCCGGUCAGGCAGAAGUGGCUCACCAGCCAAGAUCCCCAGCUGGCCAGAGCAAACGCCUGUGGUCAAAACGUCGGAUGCAGCCUCCGAGGAAAGGGGACCACAUUGAUUCACUAAAACUUCAGGAAAAAAAAUAAAAGUCUUCUAGGAAAGAAAGGGCACAAUCUGCACAGCACCAACCCUCAACAACACAUCACACUGCAAUCAUUGGGGAAUGUCAUAGCUGUGUAAAAAGUUAAGCUAUAACUUGUUACUUUUAUUGGGCUGUUUACCCCUUAAUUUCUUACCCAUUGUACAAUCAGGAGGCGGAGGUAGCCCAACCAAGUACGGAAAAAUUGCCUUGUUAUCUAAACUUGGAGCAGUUCUGCUUACCUUUUAUCAUUUCACUGAUGCAAUCAGGAUAUUUGCAAAUAUUGGAAACUGAAGAAAAUUGCAACGAUGGGGAACAAUAAUUAUGAACACUAUGAAGUUAAGAGAUUCUGCAGAAUGAGGAACGUACACGAUGUAGUUACUUAAAAUACUCAAUGAUUUGAAUUAUAAAUAAAUCCAAGGAGAAUUUAGCCAACGUGGAGACUACACUUUAUCUGAAAGCAAGAAGAUAUUAAUUUUUUGGGGGGGAGGAAGGGGAGGAAUAGAGAAGUGGUGGGAAGAAAACAUGAUAAAGUUCUGAAAUAUCUUGAUUACCUGCAUCUAAAGUAAAAAUACUAGUCUAGGGACUAAAGGGAGGGAAGUACAUAGUUUCACACCUUGGUAUGCCAGCCUGACAAAU